AUAAAUGCAAUGUUGAUGAGGCUGAUAAAUGAAAACUGUGGAGAAUCCUUACUUCUAGAGAAAACCAGCUUGAUGGAACUCAAUAGGAGAGGAAUGAUAUUAUUUUUUGCCUUUUACCUUCUUUCCCUUGAAUGUGACUGCUGUCACUAUACUAGCACCUCUUUAAUGCUCUUGAUUCAUGGAGGAGGCAGAACCAACCCAAGUAAAAUGAUGAAGA
rnacentral:lncRNA from 1 species